AACGAACGCUGGCGGCAGGCUUAACACAUGCAAGUCGAGCGCCCCGCAAGGGGAGCGGCAGACGGGUGAGUAACGCGUGGGAAUCUACCCAUCUCUACGGAAUAACGCAUGGAAACGUGUGCUAAUACCGUAUACGUCCUUCGGGAGAAAGGUUUAUCGGAGAUGGAUGAGCCCGCGUUGGAUUAGCUAGUUGGUGGGGUAAAGGCCUACCAAGGCGACGAUCCACAGCUGGUCUGAGAGGAUGAUCAGCCACACUGGGACUGAGACACGGCCCAGACUACUACGGGAGGCAGCAGUGGGGAAGAUUGGACGAUGGGCGCAAGCCUGAGCCAGCCAUGCCGCGUGGGUGAUGAAGGCCCUAGGGUUGUAAAGCUCUUUCACCGGUGAAGAUAAUGACGGUAACCGGAGAAGAAGCCCCGGCUAACUUCGUGCCAGCCGCCGCGGUAAGAC
rnacentral:rRNA from 1 species